GCCCCUGUAGCUCAGAGGAUAGAGCAGCGGUUUCCUAAACCGCGUGUCGUGGGUUCGACUCCCGCCAGGGGCG
rnacentral:tRNA from 1 species